rnacentral:tRNA from 1 species
GCCGCCGUAGCUCAACUGGCAGAGCAGGGCUUUUGUAAAGCCCAGGUUGCAGGUUCAACUCCUGUCGGCGGCU